rnacentral:rRNA from 1 species
AGCAGCCGCGGUAAUUCCAGCUCCAAUAGCGUAUAUUAAAGUUGUUGCAGUUAAAAAGCUCGUAGUUGAACUUCAGGCCUGGUCGGGCGGUCUGCCUCACGGUACGUACUGUCUGACCGGGUCUUACCUCUUGGUGAGCCGGCAUGCCCUUCACUGGGUGUGUCGGGGAACCAGGACUUUUACUUUGAGAAAAU